rnacentral:lncRNA from 1 species
CUUCUAAGACAUAUGGAAAAGAAACAAUAGAUGUUUAAGUAAGCUUUUUAGUCCUGCCACAUAAUACAGGCCAGCAGUUGUGCCCACGUGCUAAGAAGGGGCAGGGCCACUGGGAAAGUUCACAUUCUCAUGGGAAGUGAAAGUGAGUCACAUUGCUGUUUCUGUCAUGUGACAGCUGUGGGACAGAAUCAACUCACUGAGCCUCUGCUUCCUGCUGAUAGGGUGACAAGCCUGGUAGCUUAUACCUGUAAACUCUACCAUCUGGGAGGCUGAAGCUUGUCGGAAUUAUAAACCGAGAACCCUGUCAAAUAAAUCGAAACAGUCAAACAGGGGUGAUAAGAGAUUUUUCUUUACUAACCACUUCCAAUGUGACUGGUCCUGUUCUAGCAGCGCCCCUCAGCCAGAAACCCCAGAAUUUCAAAAUGGCAGCUGCAGCUUUGUCCGUGUCAAAUGGUACCGGAGCUUCUUUGCAUCUUUGCUGUGGGUCAUAAAUGCAGCCUUUGGAGCAACUGUCCACUGCAAUAGCUCCUCGGGAAGAAAUAGGACCUCGAGAUCAUCUACCCCAUCUAUGACAGAAUUUUGUCUAGCCUCGUGUUGUACAGAUCUUGUGCAGGAUCAUAUUGUUGGUCAUUCUUGAAAUUCUCUUGUGGAGAGCUGGUGAGCAGUAUUCAGUGAGCAAAGGUGCUUGGUGACAAGCCUGGCGGCCUGACUUUGGAACCCCAAGACCUGUCAACAUGGUGGAAGUGAGGAACUGACUCCUGGAAGUACUUGUCCUCUGGCCUCCAUAUGUAGUACAUAUGCUCAAUAUACUCACAUGCUCACACUUAAACACACACACACACACACACACACACACACACACACACACACUCACACACCUAUAUCCAAGUGAGCCUUCUGUGUCAGUGUUUAUGUGAGCACUGUGUGUGUGUGUGUAUGUAUGUGUGCUAACAUAGUAGUAGUUAGUAGUAGUAGUAGUAGUUGUUAGUAGCAGUAGUAGUAGUAGUAGUAGUAGUAGUAGCAGUAGUAGUAGUAGUUAGUAGUAGUAGUAGUAGUUGUUAGUGGCAGUAGUAGUAGUAGUAGUAGUAGUAGUAGCAGCAGUAGUAGUAGUAGCAGUAGUAGUAGUAGUAGUUGUUAGUGGCAGUAGUAGUAGUAGUAGUAGUAGUAGUAGUAGCAGCAGUAGUAGUAGUAGCAGUAGUAGUAGUAGUAGUAGUUGUUAGUGGCAGUAGUAGUAGUAGUAGUAGUAGUAGUAGCAGUAGUAGUAGUAGCAGUAGUAGUAGUAGUAGUUGUUAGUGGCAGCAGUAGUAGUAGUAGUAGUAGUAGUAGUAGUAGUAGUAGUAGUAGUAGCAGUAGUAGUAGUAGUUAGUAGUAGUAGCAGUAGUUGUUNNNNNNNNNNNNNNNNNNNNNNNNNNNNNNNNNNNNNNNNNNNNNNNNNNNNNUAGUCAUAGGAACUCCUACAUAUAUGGAAGCUAGAGGUUUAUGGUUGGGUCACUUCCUCUCUACUUGAUUCCUACAGGCAGAGUCUCUCUGAACCUGGAGCUUUCUUACUAGCUAGACUGGUUGUCCAGCAAACUUCCUGUCUCUACCCACCACCCACCCCCAGUAGUAAUCAGGAUAGUCCAAAGGCCCUGGCUCCCACCAGUUUUCCAAAUUGGUUCUAAUUCUUCUUAGCUAUGAUUUCCCAAAAUACUAAGCUAGCAGAGUAGAGGGGAAAUUUCAAGCUGAGUCUCUCCAGCUAAAACUAAUGUUGCCGGAUAUGAGUUCGAUGCCAGGUUACUGGAAGACCCCUUGAAUGUGUAAACACUGCAGGUGGGAACAAAAGGAAAACAAAGGAAGAGCAUCUCCAACCUCCUCCCUUUGCUCUUUUGUAUGGCUACAGUAAAUGGAAUGAACCUAUGGCUUUGUGACUUGCUAUGCUGGGAAGCAUUCUCCCACCAAGUAGAGGGAGUAUAUCUGCAGGCCCCGUGGUCUACUUUUAAGAUAAACAAGACCAUUUUGUGCCCAGCAAACAGGUUAAUUCCAGCUGUUGCGUUCAGUCUCUUCUAAAGAAGUCCUCAACAGCCCAAUUACUUUAGAAUUUCUUUAGGGGGAAAAACCUUAUUAGAGUAGUUAUCAUGGGUGUACUUCGUAAAUAAAUAUUUUCGGAGUGCUUUUUGACAUUUCACCUUUGAAAGUUUUCCCUUUUGGAGAAUCCUGGGAUGUCAGAUUAUAGCAGGGUUCCUUAUAAGGUGUUAUCCAGG